CUGCUCAUGGUGUAAUGGUUUCAAUGUUGGACUGCGGAUCUGGAGACCAGGGUUCGAUUCCCUGUUCACUGG